rnacentral:rRNA from 1 species
UGAUCAUGGCUCAGGAUGAACGCUAGCGGCAGGCUUAACACAUGCAAGUCGAGGGGUAACAGAGAAAAGCUUGCUUUUUUGCUGACGACCGGCGCACGGGUGCGUAACGCGUAUACAAUCUACCGCUUACUGGAGGAUAGCCCAGAGAAAUCUGGAUUAAUACUCCAUAGUAUAUAGAAGAGGCAUCUUUUUUAUAUUAAAGGCUACGGUAAGUGAUGAGUAUGCGUCCUAUUAGCUAGUUGGUAUGGUAACGGCAUACCAAGGCGACGAUAGGUAGGGGCCCUGAGAGGGGGAUCCCCCACACUGGUACUGAGACACGGACCAGACUCCUACGGGAGGCAGCAGUGAGGAAUAUUGGACAAUGGGCGCAAGCCUGAUCCAGCCAUGCCGCGUGCAGGAAGACUGCCCUAUGGGUUGUAAACUGCUUUUAUACAGGAAGAAACCUUUCCACGUGUGGGGAGCUGACGGUACUGUAAGAAUAAGCAUCGGCUAACUCCGUGCCAGCAGCCGCGGUAAUACGGAGGAUGCA